rnacentral:lncRNA from 1 species
GGGAGAGGGAGGGGGCCGGCCGCAGGGUGACGGGUGGCAGCCUGGGGCUGUGCAGAUGUGGGUGGCUGAGAAGGGCACUAGGGUGGGGGUGGCUGGAGGAAUUUUAAGUGCUGUGAUGAAAUGGGCACCCUUCUCUGCCCUCCAUCGCCAAGCCCUACACCUCUGCGAAGACUGUGACACAUAAAGUCCUGUGUCAACGAUCUGUGCCCGCAGAGAGAGCCUGCUCCAGCCUCUUUGCUACAGCCUUGAGUCUUCUGCUGAAGCUGUGGAGACUACCAAAUGGACUCGUCUAGAUUUCACAUGCAACGUGGCUCUGCCUUCCCUGAGCACUCUGGGCCUUUCCAUGGAGACAGAAUGAAUAGAUAAUGGUCCAGGACUACCCACUUCCCUUGGAAUGGUGUUGCCAUCACUGUUCUGGCACCGGAGAAAGGAUUCUACAUCGUUAGGAGAAAAGAAAAAGGAGAAUUUGGGCUUGCACUGAGAGGAUUACCUUUGGUGGUCUGGAAGUGGUGGGGUUGCAGCAUUGAAGGCACCAUCUUGGAAGCAGAGACUAGACCCUCACCAAGCAAUUAACAUGCUGGUGCAUUGAUCUUGGACUUUCCAGCCUCCAGAACUACUUUUAAGGCAGAAUCUCAAUUCAUCUCUUCUAUGAAACUUUCAUGAUUCAAAGGGAAGUCCCUGCAUGGACACUGCCAGCUUCAUUGCACUUCUGCCUCUAUGCUUUUUCCUGAACCUUCUCCACCUCUGGAACGUACUUCAGGCUGCACAGGGAGCAUGGCUGGGAGGCCUCAGGAAACUGACAAUCAUCAGUAGAAGAUGAAGAGGAAGGAGGCGCAUCUUACAUGGCCAGAGAAGGAGGAAGAAUAAGAAGGGAUUCUCCAGCUGGAGCCCUAUAAAUUGGACUGACAAAAGACAGAUUAGCAAGAGAAAUGCAAGCAGCAGUUUAUUAACAUGUGCAUCAUGAUUACACAUGGAAGUACCCAGAGGUCAUAAGACCUCAUGUGACAAGUGCCCUCCUUACUCCCAGAGAAAAGGAAGGAAGACACAGAAACACCACGAAGAAUAUGGACAAACAGACCUUGCUAAGUUCCCCCCCAUUUAUUACCAUGACAUCAUACUCCCUUUGUCCAAUCACACUUUCAUCAAACCUGAGCAUGAAAAUACACAGGUUUCUCUGUUUGGGGGGUGGGUCUUCAUUUUUGAAGUUUCCAUGUCAUGUAAAACUUAUAUUAAAGAAAUGUGUAUGUUUUACCCUUGUUAAUUU